GACAGAGGGUGCAAACGUUGUUCGGAAUUACUGGGCGUAAAGCGUGUGUAGGCGGCUACGCAAGUCGGAUGUGAAAGCCCCAGGCUUAACCUGGGAAGUGCACCCGAAACUGCGCAGCUUGAGUAUCGGAGAGGUUGGUGGAAUUCUCGGUGUAGAGGUGAAAUUCGUAGAUAUCGAGAGGAACACCGGUGGCGAAGGCGGCCAACUGGACGAAUACUGACGCUGAGACACGAAAGCGUGGGGAGCAAACAGG
rnacentral:rRNA from 1 species